GAGCCGCACCUGCUGCCUCGCCUGGCCCGCAAGCAACAGGCUCCGGGGCCGGGACCGCGCGCCGCUCUCGUGCCCGUGGCGCGUGUGCGCGCCCCGCAGCCGGACCAAGCUCUGGAGCGCAAUAAAGUCAACUGCUGGGCCAGACCCAGGACCUCCCUGUAAAAAGCAGGCUUCCUUUGGCUGGAUGAACACGAGUCUGAAACAAAAUUUAAAGGUUGGGAAUAUCACAGCUGCACAUAUAUUGAAAAAGAUAUGGAACUCAUAGAAGAAGAAUUAAUCUUCCUACAUUUAAAAUUAAAAAGAGAUGAAUGGAAAAAGCCAGCACAGAGGGGAAGGACAAGAUGAGGAUCUCCAAUGCCCGAACAUGGAGAAGAUCCAGCACUUUGCAGGGAGCCACAGCCAGGCUUUGUAACAGGAGAGGAAGUCAUCUGGAAAAUGGCAUUUCUCACACACCGGCUGUAAGUCAAUCUCCUGGGUAAGCGUAUCAAGUUAAACAACACUUGCAGGUCUCUCAUUUCUAUGAAUGUAAUAAGAUUCCAGCAAUAGAAUCAUUCUUUUGUUCAGUAGUUUCCCACCUGCUGCUCGAAUCCUACUAAAGUCGCCUCUCCAAAGUCUUGCCCACCAAGUUUCAUCUGCUUAGUCCCAUAUGUCCCUUUGGUGGGCAAAAUACUGUAGAUCAGUAGGAACAGAAGUCACCCUGAGGUGCAGCCAAGCAAGAAAUAAAGCUGAGCUGUGAGCACUGAAAUGUAGGUCAGUUAACAGCUGGGCAAGGAGAGUGUGAGAACUUUGGAAGAAGUUAAGAAAUGGGAGGAAAGAAAGAGAACCGAAUACGGAUACAUAAAUGAUAACAAAAAGAAAUGAAGGUUUUCACAAA